AACAGGAAGUUGAGACUGCCACCUGAACACUUUGGGCUCCUCAUGCCUCUGAAUCAACGGGCAAAGAAGAGAGUUAUAGAUCCUAACCACCCAGGAGAAAUUCGGUGGCCACUACACAAACAGACUUUUCUGACUCUGGGGCCAGGUGUUUGUAUUUAACUCCACGGUGAGGAGACUCAUCUUCUGACGGACCUAGCCUAUUCCAUCAAGGUCAGAGGCAACAAGAAAUGGCAUGCAUUUCAGUUUAUCGUUCUGUGGCUCCAGCUCGUAUAUUUUAACUCUAGAUUUUUUUUUUACUUUUCCCACUUUACAGUCAUCUUCCCUUUCCAACUACCUUCCUUGUGGACUUCAAGCUCCAGCAUCACAAGCAAAGACAAGAACCUUGCAGAAACUAUUUAACUAACUCCCACAAUUGCAUAAGAAGAGUCAUGAUCCUAAGAACAGAAGGGAGAUCCACUCCUGUUGCUUUGACUUCUUGCUGUCCUCCUGCUAUUUGGCUCAAAAUGCAAACUCAGUUAUGAGAAGUACAUAGAAGAACAGGUAAACUAAAGCCCGGGCUUUUUCACCAGAGGAUGUGGAAAAGAGGCUUCAGGAAAUUGAGAAGUAUUAUGGAGAUUGCAAAAAUGAGGGAGCUGAAGAAAGAGUUAGAAUGACAGUGAAUGAGAGAAGAGAGAGAGAUGAAUACCACGAAGUUGCGUAUGUACUGCUGGACUAUACCCUGAACUGAGCAUGUAAACAUCUGACCACAGAUGGUAUAAUAAGGCUUUGAAAACUAAGCUACAAUAAAGACCAUCACCCAGGCCAAAAAUUGCUACUUGGAAAUGCACACACAGACUGAUCCAAAUAGCAUUGAAAAUACUUAAAGAAAUGGUGCAGACAUUGGAGUCACAAUCCAAAGAAGGCAGAUCAGAGUUUGUUCCAUAAGCCUGAAUAGUUCGAUUGCUUAAUAUAAGAAGAAAAUCAACCUUUUUCUUAUGAUUUAAGACAUAAUCAGAGUCUCAUAACAUAUUCUCAAAAUGCCCAGGAUAUAAUUUAAAAUUAUUUGGCAUAUGAGAAACCAGUGUGAUCGUCUCUUAACUCUUAAAGAAAAAGACAAUUAAAAAUAUCACAAUCAAAAUGACAGGAAUGUUGUAUUUAUCAGAUAAAGACAUUAAAGAGAUAUUAUAACCAUGCUCUAACAGGCAAAUGAAAAGACUCAUAAUGAAUAGAAAAAUAGAAAGUCUCAGCAAAGAGAUAGAAUAUAUGAAGAUGAAAAAUGGAAAUUUUAGAACUGGACAAUGUGACAGUCCAAAGAGAAAAUUCACUCGAUGGACUAAAUAGGAUAAUGGAGAUAACAGAGGAAAAGAGGCAGAUGACUUGAAUACCGAUCAUGAUAAAUUAACUAUUUCAAAGAAGAGAGUAAAAAGAGACUUAAAAAAAAAAAUGAACAGAGCCUCUGAGUCCUGUGAAACGAUGUCAAAAAGCCUAAUAUUGGUGUCAUCUGAACCACAGAAGGAGGAAGAAAGUAUGAGAAAAAAUAUCUAAAGAAAAAUAACCAGAAACUUCCUUAAUUUGGCAAAAGAUAAAAUCUUAAAGAUGCCUGAGGAGGCUCAGGAAACUCUAAGGAGAAUAAGCUACAAAAAAUCUACACUCUAAAACUUCUGAAAUUAAAAAACAAAGAAAAAAUUUUUGAAUGCACCCAGAAACUCAAUACAAAUGGAGAAUUCUGAUUUGAAUACUGUAUAUUUUAUAUAAGGAAACAUGGUAGUCAAGGGGAAGUGGAACAACAUUUUUUAAGUGAUGCAAAAAAUGAUUCUAUAUUCAGAAAUCUUUAUCCAGUAAAAAUAUUCUUGAUAAAUGAAAAUCAAAUAAAGAUAUUCCUGAUGAAACU
rnacentral:lncRNA from 1 species